rnacentral:lncRNA from 1 species
AUGAAUUACCAGAGUCAGUCAGAGUUCUCUACGAGACAUCAUCAAAGAGGAAACUCAAGCAAAAAAUAAAGAGGAAGUUCAUUGAGAUUUUAUGUAUUGACGUAGACUCUAUUCAGGACAGAGAUAUCAGGGAAAUGGUCGAGAAAGUUCGAAACAUUCCCGAGGAAAACACGGAAGGAAAGAAGAAAACUAAAAACGCUGGAAAGCUACGAAAGCCGAAAUGUCCGAAAAACUAAAACUGUUUCAUUUGAAUGAACUUUUAAGAGGAUCUACUCGUGUUCAGUUGAUAUACAAAACUAGAAGGUUUUUAUAUUCUAUUAUGACUGCUUUCAGUGUAGGCAAAUUAGAUGAAAGAGAGAAAUGAAAAACUUUUGGACAAAGUACGAUUUAUCGAUACUUUUAUUUGACAAUGUUCGGCAAAUCAUUGUUAUCUGCCAGCGUUUUCGUAAAUGGCACAUAUGAAAAUGUGAUUCAAUCUAUUUAGGAUAGAAAUUGUGAUGUCAGAAUUAUUGCAUGUCAUGGUAUUAAAAGAUUACAGAAAGAGGAAUAAAGUAUCUUUCUCUGAUA